GUUAUACAAUAAAUAAAAUUUAAUUUUUUUGGUUAAAUUGAAGUUAAGUAUUUUAUGAAAUUAAAAUUUUAAUUUUAAGGUGAAAUUUAAAUUUGAAUUAAUUUUUAUACGUUUCUUUUAAAUAUAAAUUUUAAACUAGGAUUAGAUACCCUAUUAUUUUAUAUGUAAAAUUUUACCUGGGUAGUAAUAGUUAUAUUCUUUAAACUUAAAGAAUUUGGCGGUAAUUUAGUCUAUUCAGAGGAAUUUGUCCCGUAAUCGAUAAUCCCCGUUAUAUCUUUCUUAUUUUUGUAAUUUCAGUAUGUAUACCGCCGUUAUAAGUUUAUUUUAUUAGAAUAUAAUUUACUUAAAAUAUUAUUUUAUUUUAUUUCAGG
rnacentral:rRNA from 1 species